AUUGAACGCUAGCGGGAUGCCUUACACAUGCAAGUCGAACGGAGUGGCGAACGGGUGCGUAAUGUAUAGGACCGUGCCCCUUAGCGGGGGAUAACUACGAGAACGCGUAGCUAAUACCGCAUACUCUUGGAGCUGCCGCUGUCGGAUUAGCUAGCUGGUGGGGUAACGGCUCACCAAGGCGACGAUCCGUAGCUGGUUUGAGAGGAUGACCAGCCACACUGGGACUGAGACACGGCCCAGACGCCGACGGGAGGCAGCAGUGGGGAAUUUUGGACAAUGGGGGAAAGCCUGAUGCAGCCAUCCCGCGUGUGUGAUGAAGGCCUUCGGGUUGUAAAGCACUUUUGGCAGGAAAGCGGUACCUGCAGAAGAAGCACCGGCUAACUACGUGCCAGCAGCCGCGGUAAUAC
rnacentral:rRNA from 1 species